AAACACUCACAGCUCCUAUACUCGCCAGCAUGCACACAUGCACACACAGACACACACGUAAACACACACACGUGCAGGCGCAUGCCUGCACACACUCACCACGCGCGAGUACACACACACACACACACACACACACACACACACACACACACACACACACACACACACACACACACAGAGAUGCACGCACACACACCCUACACUCGACUACAAUCGAGAGCAUCCUGGCGGGCUGUAUCACCGCCUGGUACGGCAACUGCUCCGCCCACAACCGUAAGGCUCUCCAGAGGGUAGUGAGGUCUGCACAACGCAUCACCGGGGGCAAACUACCUGCCCUCCAGGACACCUACACCACCCGAUGUUACAGGAAGGCCAUAAAGAUCAUCAAGGACAUCAACCACCCGAGCCACUGCCUGUUCACCCCGCUAUCAUCCAGAAGGUGAGAUGACGUCUUCCAGCACCACAAAUGGGUGAUGCAUUACGGAUGUUCCUGUAUCAACCAUGGCCUUGGGAUUGUCAUAUGUCUUCCUGACUUGACAUGGAGGGAUGUGCAGCAUCUGAUCGCCAUGACAGCCAAGGUCCCCGACCCCAAAGAGCCAGGAUGGAGUGUCAACGGAGCAGGGGACCACAUCCACGACAGAUACUAGUUACACACACGGUGUAAACACACCACACACAUCAUGUAUACCACAUAUACUGCACUGUAGCCAGUGUUGGGAUUAGUUACUUGGGGGAAGUAAUGUAUUACAUAUUACUCAUUGCGUUUAACAAAAGUAACAUGUUACUUUGUAUGGAAAUUAAUGCGCUAUAUUACUUUGUGUUACUUUCCUGAUAGUUUGUUUGAUUAUCGGGGGGAGUAAGGCGAGCUACUUACUAACUCAGGUUUGAUAACUGGUUUCUCUUUUCAUCUGUGGCACUGCUUUCCUGUGCUACUCUGCAAGUGCUGCUUAAUUAUCCAUAUAUGCUGUAAGCCAAAGAUCUGUACAGAUUUACUAUCUUUUCAGUCGAAGUCUUUCUCUAGAGCCUCCAGUUCUGGUUAUUGAGCGCACGAACAUGGACCCAUAGAGACGUAUAGAUGACACACUUGCCACUAUCACAGAAGCAAUCAAUGGCAAAGAGCAGAGGUUUAUCCUCUAUACGCUUUCAUGGAGGUAGCUGUCAUGACAUUUCUUUCUCCGCUCGCUUGCGAGCACUAAAUUAAGUUGAGAUCGGAUCAUGGAAACGCGCCCAGUAGCGAUAGGAUUCUGAAAGUAACGCAUGCAUUAGUUGACAAAGUAACUGUAACAAUAUUACCCAAUUUUAAAAAGAACGCUACUUUACUCCGUUACUCAUACAAGUAAUCUGAUUACGUAACAUGCUACUUUUGUAGCACAUUACCCCCAACACAUUACCCCCAAGCCUACAAACAGCGCACAUACCAUUGACAUAUCAUGAACAUGAUUUGACGCAUGCACACACACACACAGAAACACACACGCACAUACGAACUAGGGACACAUGUUACAUACACCACACACCUAUGGAAAACACACAUGCUACAGCCGAACAGUCCCACAGACAACACCUGUACCGUACACCACACAUCCUACACUACAGACAACAUAUAUCUAUAUAUAUAUAUAUAUAUACCUCAGAUACUACACAAUGCUACUGAUAUUACACCCACAUUGUAAAACAGACACCCGUUUAUGACUUGGGAAUAAAUGAUUUUAGCAGGACAGAAGU
ensembl:lncRNA